rnacentral:misc_RNA from 1 species
AUGACGUGUCCAUGAAUGCCUUGCAGGGAUCGAUUGCGGAACGGACGCGCGCCAGCUUCACGGCGGGCUGCGAUGUCGUUCUGCAUUGCAAUGGCAAGCUCGACGAGAUGAGCCAGGUUGCGGGCGAAGCGCCUGNNNNNUCGCCGGCAUGGCGCUGGCGCGGGCGGAUGGUGCCCUGGCGUUGCGCAGAACGCCGCAGCCCUUCGAUCG